AAACUUCAAAUACCACCCUAUAGUUUCGCAACUUUUCACUUUAGUACCCUGCGAUUUAAAGUGUGUCAAUUUAAUACCCUGUGGUUUCACACUUUCUCACUUUAGUAUCCUGUGGUUUAAAGUGCAUCAAUUUAGUACUCUGUGCUUUUAUUUUUCUCUUUUUAUUGGCUCCUCUGUUAAUAUUUCGUUAAAUUAUAUACAAAAAACUUCAGAUACCCUAUCUAAAUUUAUCUAAUAUUUACUUUAAUACCCUUUAGUUUUAACUUUGUCAAUGAUUUUUUUUCCUCCAUUAAUAUUUGUUAAAUUAUACACAAAAAACUUCAGAUACUCUACCUAAGUUUAUUAAAAAUUCACUUUAGUAUCCUUUAAUUUUAACUUUGUCACUGAUUUAAUGAAAAAAAUUAGUGAAAUGGAUAAUAAAAAGAGAAAAAUAAAACUACAGGGUACUAACUUGAUACACUUUAAACCAUAGGGUAGUAAAGUAAAAAAGUGUGAAACUACAGGGGCUAACUUAAUACACUUUAAACCACAGGGUAGUAAAAUGAGAAAGUGUAAUUUGUUGCUAUGUUUUACAAGAACUUUCAGAGUUAUUACAACCAAAUCUUAUAAUCUAAUUUAGUUGACUUAAUAUUAAUAUAUUGCCUGUAUAGAGGUGAUGUAGCAAGGUUGUGAUUAAUGAUGUGUCCAUAAUUAAGAUGUUGUAUCGCCCUUACAUCAAUAAUGUAUUAAAAUUAAAUUAAAUUAUGAGACUUGAUUAUAAUAAUUUUAAAAAUUCGAGCUAGAAAUUAACAAAUUAAAGUUUGAGAACUAAAGUGUAAUGCGCCUUUUAGCUUGAGUGCUGAACUUGCAAUUUACCCUAAGUGAUAUGGCAAGGUUUGCUACAAUUGGUUGAUUCAUUUUUUACCGGCUAUAUCUAGUGCAGUUGGCUACAAAUUUAAUGGCUAAUAUUCAAGGUUCCAACUUUGAAGCCUAGUACAUUUCUAACUGACUUCAUUUCUUAAAAAAAAAUGAACAGUGUUAGAUUUGUCUCGAAUCUGGAACCCUAAGGUUUUUUAUUCUUUUUUUUAUUUUGAUUAUCUUAUUAAGUUAAGUUUAAACUAUGUCUAAUUUUAAUUAAAAGUAUUUCUGGUCUCUGUGGAUUUGUAUCCCUAAUUGUAUUAAGAUUUAGUCACUAUUAUGAAUAUACAUUUUAUCCCGUAAAUUUGGUGCAGCAAACGAGAAUGUGUAUGGGAUAUAUUUUGGAACUAGGAUUAUGUGAAAGAGACAUAUUUUGUAUUCUAAUUUGAUCAUAAUGAAAGUCUCAGCUCAGUCUACGCCCGUGAACGAAUGCCAGUGGCCGAACUAUGUAAAUAUUUUUGUACUUUAUUAAUUUUUUUCUCAAUUCUAUUUUGGCAAUUUCGUCCCCGACAAGCUAAAUUUUUUUAUUUUUAUCAU
rnacentral:lncRNA from 1 species